rnacentral:misc_RNA from 1 species
UAAUCGUGUGGUGGCCUCUGAAGUUUAUGGGUAUGCCAGAAGGUUUGCAAAAAUAGGAAUUGUUGAAGCACUUGUUGAUUCACUUCAUGAUGGGAUCAAGGCGUCUAGUCUGGUGUCUGCAAGUGUUGCUUUAAAGGCUAUUGCUGUUAAUGAUGAGAUAUGCAGAGCUGUUGCUGAAAAUGGUGGUAUAGACGCAAUUCUUCGAUGUAUAGAUGACAGCAGUGAACAGGGUGAAAAAGUUGUAGCCAUG